CCAGACUCCUACGGGAGGCAGCAGUGGGGAAUAUUGGACAAUGGGGGAAACCCUGAUGCAGCGACGCCGCGUGAAGGAUGAAGUAUUUCGGUAUGUAAACUUCUAUCAGCAGGGAAGAAAAUGACGGUACCUGACUAAGAAGCCCCGGCUAACUACGUGCCAGCAGCCGCGGUAAUACGUAGGGGGCAAGCGUUAUCCGGAUUUACUGGGUGUAAAGGGGGCGCAGACGGCAGUGCAAGUCUGGAGUGAAAGCCCGGGGCCCAACCCCGGGACUGCUCUGGAAACUGCGGCGCUGGAGUACGGGAGGGGCAGGCGGAAUUCCUGGUGUAGCGGUGAAAUGCGUAGAUAUUAGGAGGAACACCAGUGGCGAAGGCGGCUUGCUGGACGAUGACUGACGUUGAGGCUCGAAAGCGUGGGGAGCAAACAGGAUUAGAUACCCGCGUACC
rnacentral:rRNA from 1 species